CACCUCGCCAAACCAAUACAACUUGUAAUUUAUAAACAGGUACACGGCAAGAGAAUACCUUCCGUGUGUAGCAACAGGAAGCAACUGCUAAAGCUCGCCAGGUGCCUGAGACCUAGGAAAAGCACAGGCUCUCCAUCCUUGGAGCCUUUUACAAAGAGGUGUGAUACAAGAGCAUGCUCGGUGCUAGUGUGCCCCCAGGAGCAGCCGAAGCCUCAAACUUCCUUCACCUGGGAGGAGGCGAGCGCGGUCGCUGCCCAGGAUGGGUCAUGGAUGAGCUUCAGGAUGCUUAGCUCUUUCUAGGUGAUGAGUAUGCCUGAGUGCAGAAGUGUUUUCAUCUGCAGAAAUAAAGGAACAUUUGCAUAUAAACGUGAGACCUGAGGAUGGCGAAUGUAUGUGCAGGAGGGGAAUUUCUGCUCUCUCCUGCCUCCUUCACUCUGCCAAAUUUGGAGUACACAUUUUUGAAGCCAGGAUCAUAGACCAAGUGCUAUAUUCAUUUUACUAUGACUAAGUCAUUUAAAGUUACUACAAAUCUAUGUUGGUUUAAUUAUAGUUUUUCAUGGACUUACUCCAGAUGAGACCUAGAUAAAGCAGCAGAAUUUUGUCAUAGGAGUUGAUUUGUUAUAUGAAGUGUCAUGAAUAUAAUGGCACUGAAUAAAUAAUUUACAGUACUGUGUAUCUGGUCUUAUUUAUAGAGUAUAAAUUGAGUACAGUUUUAAUAAUUUUUAAAAGUUACUGUGAACAUACACAGGAGAAUAUACCGUUCUGUAAAAGCAUGCAGUAUAUUGAAUAUAAGAUAGAUCAAAAAUGAGAAAUGGAAGCAGUGAAAAGGAAAUGUUUAUAUGACGUUUAGCUUUGUAACAACUGAUUAGAAUAGGGCAGGUCUGAGGAGUCCAAAUCUCCUAAGAAUUACUCUAGUACAUAUUACAUCAUACUGCCAAUCCAAAUAGUUCUUAACUUGGAAGUUCUGAAACACACAAACAAACACAAAAAACAACCCAACCCAACCCAACCCAACAAAAAAACAACCAACCAAACAAACAAAAAAACAGUUGCAGACAGUCUACUUCAUUUCCUACUACAACUAAUUAAGUAUGAUUACAUGCACUUUGAGAGACCUAAAGAAUGUACCAAUAAAACAAGUAAUUAAUUCUAAAAUUUACUAUCGCUGAUGACAAAUCAUAUGAGGAAUGGUUGAAGCAGGGAAUCUUUUCUCUAUUCUUGGCAAAUGACAAGAAGAUAACAAAUUGCAAAAAUGGAAGAAUCCAAAAGGUCAAAAGGACAGAAUGGGAUUGGUCAAGACAUUGGAAUUAAAAUUACAAAGCACAAACAGACAUGCAUAUUUGAAAGUAAACCAUUUUAAUCUUACACAUUUAAUAGAAUCACUAUGUGCCAUCUGGAAUGCAGGGAAUCCAAUGAAAAUUGGAGGUGUAAACAACACACAAAGAAUUAUCAACAUCUGUUUUCAGUGCUUGCUAAUAUAUAUCAGUCCUUGAGGGAUAAGUUAGAGAAAGCAAGGGGAAUUAAUAAAAACUGAUGAUAUAAAGAGUAUCACAUCAUUGUAUUAGUUUAGAGACAAUAUGGACUUACACAGGCUGAAGAAAUAAAGCAUAUAAUGUAAUGUAUCAAGUCUGUUUUCUUUCUUCUUCCAGCUCGCAUAAAUGCUGUAACAGUAGUACAGCAUUCCUAGUAGAUGUUAUAGUUUGGUAGGUUUGGCAUAUGACACAUAUUUUUCUCCCCCAAACAGCUAAUGGAUACAAAUUUCUAAACUCUGAAAACUUUGAGUAGUAGCUUAUACUAGCCCAUUCUGUCUUUAUCUCCCAUUACACUGCUGAGAGUAGAAGA